GGCGAACGGGUGAGUAACACGUGGGUAAUCUGCCCUGCACUCUGGGAUGAGCCUGGGAAACUGGGUCUAAUACUGGAUAUGACCUUUCUCCUUAUGGGGUUUGGUGGAAAGUUUUUCGGUGUAGGAUGAGCCCGCGGCCUAUCAGCUUGUUGGUGGGGUGAUGGCCUACCAAGGCGACGACGGGUAGCCGGCCUGAGAGGGUGAUCGGCCACAUUGGGACUGAGAUACGGCCCAG
rnacentral:rRNA from 1 species